rnacentral:rRNA from 1 species
UACGGAGGGUGCAAGCGUUAUCCGGAUUCACUGGGUUUAAAGGGUGCGUAGGUGGGCUGGUAAGUCAGUGGUGAAAUCUCCAGGCUUAACUUGGAAACUGCCAUUGAUACUAUCAGUCUUGAAUACCGUGGAGGUCAGCGGAAUAUGUCAUGUAGCGGUGAAAUGCUUAGAUAUGACAUAGAACACCAAUUGCGAAGGCAGCUUACUACGGAUUGAUUGACACUGAGGCACGAAAGCGUGGGGAUCAAACAGG